rnacentral:rRNA from 1 species
UACGGGGGGGGCAAGCGUUGUUCGGAAUUACUGGGCGUAAAGGGCCAGUAGGCGGCCAACUAAGUCGGAUGUGAAAUCCCCAGGCUCAACUUGGGAACUGCAUCCGAUACUGGAUGGCUUGAAUUCGGGAGAGGGAUGCAGAAUUCCAGGUGUAGCGGUGAAAUGCGUAGAUAUCUGGAGGAAUACCGGUGGCGAAGGCGACAUCCUGGACCGGUAUUGACGCUGAGGCGCGAAAGCCAGGGGAGCAAACGGG